rnacentral:rRNA from 1 species
UACGGAGGGUGCGAGAGUUGAAAGGACGUAUUGGGUUUAAAGGGUGCGCAGGUGGCCCGGUCAGUCAGUGGUGAAAUGCGGCCGCUCAACGGUCGAACUGCCAUUGAUACUGCCUGGCUUGAGAGGAGUGGAGGCCGCCGGAACGGACGGUGUAGCGGUGAAAUGCAUAGAUAUCGUCCAGAACGCCGAUUGCGAAGGCAGGUGGCUACGCUUCGUCUGACACUGAGGCACGAAAGCGUGGGGAGCGAACAGG